CCCUCCCUCUGGCUUCAGGCCUAACACAUGCAAGUCGAGCGCCCUUUCGGGGGAGCGGCGGACGGGUGAGUAACGCGUGGGAAUAUGCCCUUCUCUACGGAAUAGCCUCGGGAAACUGAGAGUAAUACCGUAUACGCCCUGUGGGGGAAAGAUUUAUCGGGGAAGGAUUAGCCCGCGUUGGAUUAGGUAGUUGGUGGGGUAAUGGCCUACCAAGCCGACGAUCCAUAGCUGGUUUGAGAGGAUGAUCAGCCACACUGGGACUGAGACACGGCCCAGACUCCUACGGGAGGCAGCAGUGGGGAAUCUUAGACAAUGGGGGCAACCCUGAUCUAGCCAUGCCGCGUGAGUGAUGAAGGCCUUAGGGUUGUAAAGCUCUUUCAGCUGGGAAGAUAAUGACGGUACCAGCAGAAGAAGCCCCGGCUAACUCCGUG
rnacentral:rRNA from 1 species